rnacentral:rRNA from 1 species
GGUUAAGCGACUAAGCGUACACGGUGGAUGCCCUGGCAGUCAGAGGCGAUGAAGGACGUGCUAAUCUGCGAAAAGCGUCGGUAAGGUGAUAUGAACCGUUAUAACCGGCGAUGUCCGAAUGGGGAAACCCAGUGCAAUUCGUUGCACUAUCGUUAACUGAAUACAUAGGUUAACGAGGCGAACCGGGGGAACUGAAACAUCUAAGUACCCCGAGGAAAAGAAAUCAACCGAGAUUCCCCCAGUAGCGGCGAGCGAACGGGGAGCAGCCCAGAGUCUGAAUCAGCUUGUGUGUUAGUGGAACGGUCUGGAAAGUCCGACGGUACAGGGUGAUAGUCCCGUACACCAAAAUGCACAGGCUGUGAACUCGAAGAGUAGGGCGGGACACGUGGUAUCCUGUCUGAAUAUGGGGGGACCAUCCUCCAAGGCUAAAUACUCCUGACUGACCGAUAGUGAACCAGUACCGUGAGGGAAAGGCGAAAAGAACCCCGGCGAGGGGAGUGAAAAAGAACCUGAAACCGUGUACGUACAAGCAGUGGGAGCACCUUCGGGUGUGACUGCGUACCUUUUGUAUAAUGGGUCAGCGACUUAUAUUCUGUAGCAAGGUUAACCGUAUAGGGGAGCCGCAGGGAAACCGAGUCUUAACUGGGCGUUAAGUUGCAGGGUAUAGACCCGAAACCCGGUGAUCUAGCCAUGGGCAGGUUGAAGGUUGGGUAACACUAACUGGAGGACCGAACCGACUAAUGUUGAAAAAUUAGCGGAUGACUUGUGGCUGGGGGUGAAAGGCCAAUCAAACCGGGAGAUAGCUGGUUCUCCCCGAAAGCUAUUUAGGUAGCGCCUCGUGAACUCAUCUUCGGGGGUAGAGCACUGUUUCGGCUAGGGGGUCAUCCCGACUUACCAACCCGAUGCAAACUACGAAUACCGAAGAAUGUUAUCACGGGAGACACACGGCGGGUGCUAACGUCCGUCGUGAAGAGGGAAACAACCCAGACCGCCAGCUAAGGUCCCAAAGUCAUGGUUAAGUGGGAAACGAUGUGGGAAGGCACAGACAGCCAGGAUGUUGGCUUAGAAGCAGCCAUCAUUUAAAGAAAGCGUAAUAGCUCACUGGUCGAGUCGGCCUGCGCGGAAGAUGUAACGGGGCUAAACCAUGCACCGAAGCUGCGGCAGCGACACUAUGUGUUGUUGGGUAGGGGAGCGUUCUGUAAGCCUGCGAAGGUGACCUGUGAGGGUUGCUGGAGGUAUCAGAAGUGCGAAUGCUGACAUAAGUAACGAUAAAGCGGGUGAAAAGCCCGCUCGCCGGAAGACCAAGGGUUCCUGUCCAACGUUAAUCGGGGCAGGGUGAGUCGACCCCUAAGGCGAGGCCGAAAGGCGUAGUCGAUGGGAAACAGGUUAAUAUUCCUGUACUUGGUGUUACUGCGAAGGGGGGACGGAGAAGGCUAUGUUAGCCGGGCGACGGUUGUCCCGGUUUAAGCAUGUAGGCUGGUUGUCCAGGCAAAUCCGGAUAAUCAAGGCUGAGGUGUGAUGACGAGGCACUACGGUGCUGAAGUAACAAAUGCCCUGCUUCCAGGAAAAGCCUCUAAGCAUCAGGUAACAUUGAAUCGUACCCCAAACCGACACAGGUGGUCAGGUAGAGAAUACCAAGGCGCUUGAGAGAACUCGGGUGAAGGAACUAGGCAAAAUGGUGCCGUAACUUCGGGAGAAGGCACGCUGGUGUGUAGGUGAAGUCCCUGCGGAUGGAGCUGAGACCAGUCGAAGAUACCAGCUGGCUGCAACUGUUUAUUAAAAACACAGCACUGUGCAAACACGAAAGUGGACGUAUACGGUGUGACGCCUGCCCGGUGCCGGAAGGUUAAUUGAUGGGGUUAUCCGUAAGGAGAAGCUCUUGAUCGAAGCCCCGGUAAACGGCGGCCGUAACUAUAACGGUCCUAAGGUAGCGAAAUUCCUUGUCGGGUAAGUUCCGACCUGCACGAAUGGCGUAAUGAUGGCCAGGCUGUCUCCACCCGAGACUCAGUGAAAUUGAACUCGCUGUGAAGAUGCAGUGUACCCGCGGCAAGACGGAAAGACCCCGUGAACCUUUACUAUAGCUUGACACUGAACAUUGAGCCUUGAUGUGUAGGAUAGGUGGGAGGCUUUGAAGCGUGGACGCCAGUCUGCGUGGAGCCAACCUUGAAAUACCACCCUUUAAUGUUUGAUGUUCUAACGUUGGCCCCUGACCGGGGUUGCGGACAGUGUCUGGUGGGUAGUUUGACUGGGGCGGUCUCCUCCCAAAGCGUAACGGAGGAGCACGAAGGUUAGCUAAUCCUGGUCGGACAUCAGGAGGUUAGUGCAAUGGCAUAAGCUAGCUUGACUGCGAGCGUGACGGCGCGAGCAGGUGCGAAAGCAGGUCAUAGUGAUCCGGUGGUUCUGAAUGGAAGGGCCAUCGCUCAACGGAUAAAAGGUACUCCGGGGAUAACAGGCUGAUACCGCCCAAGAGUUCAUAUCGACGGCGGUGUUUGGCACCUCGAUGUCGGCUCAUCACAUCCUGGGGCUGAAGUAGGUCCCAAGGGUAUGGCUGUUCGCCAUUUAAAGUGGUACGCGAGCUGGGUUUAGAACGUCGUGAGACAGUUCGGUCCCUAUCUGCCGUGGGCGCUGGAGAAUUGAGGGGGGCUGCUCCUAGUACGAGAGGACCGGAGUGGACGCAUCACUGGUGUUCGGGUUGUCAUGCCAAUGGCACUGCCCGGUAGCUAAAUGCGGAAGAGAUAAGUGCUGAAAGCAUCUAAGCACGAAACUUGCCCCGAGAUGAGUUCUCCCUGAGACUUUAAGUCUCCUGAAGGAACGUUGAAGACGACGACGUUGAUAGGCCGGGUGUGUAAGCGCAGCGAUGCGUUGAGCUAACCGGUACUAAUGAACCGUGAGGCUUAACCUU